rnacentral:rRNA from 1 species
CCCUAUGGGGUGCAGCAGGCGCGAAAACUCCGCAAUGCGCGAAAGCGUGACGGGGUCACCCCGAGUGCCGUCUGCUGAAGACGGCUUUUCCUCGGUCUAACCAGCCGUGGGAAUAAGGGGAGGGCAAGCCUGGUGUCAGCCGCCGCGGUAAUACCAGCUCCCCGAGUGGUAAGGACGAUUAUUGGGCCUAAAGCGUCCGUAGCCGGCUUGAUAAGUUUCUCGUUAAAUCUGGCGAUCCAAUCGUCAGGCUGCGGGAGAUACUGUCAAGCUAGGAGGCGGAAGAGGCCGGCGGUGCUUCUAGGGUAGGGGUGAAAUCCUAUAAUCCUAGGAGGACCACCAGUGGCGAAGGCGACCGGCCAGGACGCGCUCGACGGUGAGGGACGAAAGCUGGGGGAGCGAACCGGAUUAGAUACCCGGGUAGUCCCAGCUGUAAACGAUGCGGGCUAAGUGUCGGAAUGGCUUUGGAGCCAUUCCCGUGCUGCAGGGAAGCCGUUAGGCCUGCCGCCUGGGGAGUACGGCCGCAAGGCUGAAACUUAAAGGAAUUGGCGGGGGAGCACCACAAGGGGUGAAGCUUGCGGUUUAAUUGGAGUCAACGCCGGGAACCUUACCGGGGGUGACAGCUGAAUGAAGGCCAGAUUGAAGGUCUUGCUAGACUAGCUGAGAGGUGGUGCAUGGCC